CUACGGGGGGCAGCAGUGGGGAAUAUUGGACAAUGGGCGAAAGCCUGAUCCAGCCAUGCCGCGUGUGUGAAGAAGGCCUUCGGGUUGUAAAGCACUUUCAGUGGGGAAGAAAGCCUUGGGGCUAAUACCCUCGAGGAAGGACAUCACCCACAGAAGAAGCACCGGCUAACCUCCGUGCCAGCAGCCGCGGUAAUACGGAGGGUGCGGGCGUUAAUCGGAAUUACUGGGCGUAAAGCGCGCGUAGGCGGUCUGAUAAGCCGGUUGUGAAAGCCCCGGGCUCAACCUGGGAACGGCAUCCGGAACUGUCAGGCUAGAGUGCAGGAGAGGAAGGUAGAAUUCCCGGUGUAGCGGUGAAAUGCGUAGAGAUCGGGAGGAAUACCAGUGGCGAAGGCGGCCUUCUGGACUGACACUGACGCUGAGGUGCGAAAGCGUGGGUAGCAAACAGGAUUAGAUACCCGGGUAGUC
rnacentral:rRNA from 1 species